rnacentral:lncRNA from 1 species
CAUGGCAUCAGUAAGACGUGUCGAGGCUAUUCAUCACUCUGAAGUUUCAUUAAUGCUGUAACAGAAACCACACACUCCCUCAUGACUGGUUGGAUAUCUUGCUGUGCUCUGAAGAAGGCAGCUUUUGCUCACCCGAAAGAGCAGUCUGUUAACAAAUCUUUCAAUAUAAAGUCUGAUCUCCUCCUUGGCCCAGACCUUUGUCAUCUUGAUUGAAAAUACAUAUACCUGUUGGUCCCCAGACUCAUUAUUCUGCAUCUCAAACCUUGACCAAGUGUGUACCCGGAGGUGGUGAGUUCUUCAGGUUACCUGUACACAUCCCUGUCUGCUGCCCAUGCUAGGCAGGAAGAUAUUUGAGGUGCAUCUGUGUCUGCUUCACUUCUGUAGUGGCAGAGGAUACCCACAUAGCACAUGAGGAUACCUGAGAGACCCGUGCUGCCAUACAUCUGAAGGUGGAUGGACUACUCCUGGGCAGGUGUGGAGAUAGCAGGUCCUUGCAGCAUGCGUGGCUUCUCCAGCACCUGGUGCCUGCAGCCUGGGUAGCUUCUCCAGCAUCUGGCUCCUGCAUCACCAGUCACUUCUCCAGCACUUGGCCCCAGGAGUGUACGAUGGUCAGCAGCACCCAGCAACCAGUAGUUUCUCCUGUACUUGCUCAGGCAGCUCAAGCAGUUUCAUGGCAGAGUUCCUUCCACAAGACAUUGUUCCAUGAGUAGUUUUCCCUAGUGCCCUAGAGAGAGGAGUUUCAGCAAGUUCCACCCGUGCAAUACCGCAGUGACUUCUGUGCCAUCCAGUGAGCCAUAAUGACCUCUCCAGAGUCUGGGUCUCAGUCUGGGGUGUGGCGGUGGGCUCUUCUUUGGGCACCCUCUCUCAGCCCUGAGGGUAGCAGCUGCUCCUUCUAUCUGUUAUUCCUGUAUUUUUUUUUAGCAUUUUCUUUACUUUUUACUAGGCAAUCCCUCAUUACUGAAAUCUUGUUAUAAUUAAUGAUAUUAAACUUUCC